UACGUAGGGGGCAGGCGUUGUCCGGAUUCAUUGGGCGUAAAGAGCGUGUAGGCGGCCAGGUCGGUCGGUUGUGAAAACUGGAGGCUCAACCUUCAGACGUCGACCGAAACCAUCUGGCUAGAGUCCGGGAGAGGAGAGUGGAAUUCCUGGUGUAGCGGUGAAAUGCGCAGAUAUCAGGAAGAACACCCGUGGCGAAGGCGGUUCUCUGGGACGGUACUGACGCUGAGACGCGAAAGCGUGGGGAGCGAACAGG
rnacentral:rRNA from 1 species